AGCAGCCGCGGUAAUUCCAGCUCCAAUAGCGUAUAUUAAAGUUGUUGCAGUUAAAAAGCUCGUAGUUGAACUUCGGGGUUUACCCAUUGGUCAGGCUUAAUUGUCUGUACUGGUGAGCUGAAUCUCUACCUUCUGAGGAACUUUCAUGCCAUUUAUUUGGUGUGAUGGGAAAUCAGGACUGUUACUUUGAAAAAAUUGAGUGUUUAAAGCAGGCUAACGUCUGAAUACAUUAGCAUGGAAUAAUGAAAUAGGACGGACUGAUUCUAUUUCGUUGGUUUCUAGGAUCACCGUAAUGAUUAAUAGGGAUAGUUGGGGGCAUUAGUAUUCAAUUGUCAGAGGUGAAAUUCUUGGAUUUAUUGAAGACUAACUACUGCGAAAGCAUUUGCCAAGGAUGUUUUCAUUAAUCAAGAACGAAAGUUAGGGGAUCGAAGACGAUCAGAUACCGUCGUA
rnacentral:rRNA from 1 species